GAGGUGGUUGGGAUGCCCCAAGGCAGAUGGGAUGCCCCAAGGCAGAUGGGAUGCCCCGAGGUGGUUGGGAUGCCCCGAGGUUAAUGGGAUGCUCUGAGCUGGAUGGGAAGCCCCGAGGCGGAUGGGAUGCUUGAGGCCAGCAGGAGCAGCACUGCCUGCUCCUGUCCCCCCCCCCCCAUGCACACGCAGCAGCCCCCUCUGCCCGGUCCCCCAGCGUGCCAGCCACACCGGGGUGUAUGCACCCACCCAAAACGCUCCCCCAAUAAACAAACUCUGACCCCCAGCCGUGCCUACACCUCCUCACAGCAGCCCUGCGAGGCUGAGGGCAGCGGAGAGCCCUGCUCGUGGCUCUCCCGGACGUUUUGGGGGAGCAGCAGAAGCCCUGGCCCGCGGCGGGGAAGCGGGAGGCGUUUCCCCGGGGUGUGGGGUUUGCUCCUGCACCCCGGGCUGCACCCCGCCUGCCCGGCUGGUUUUCCAGGGGAGCAGUUUCCACGUCCCACAGGCGCGUGCAUAUGCAUGUGAAAAACCACCAAUUAAGCUCACAAAUAAACGAGCCUCUCAAGGGAA